rnacentral:rRNA from 1 species
UACGAAGGGUGCAAGCGUUAAUCGGAAUUACUGGGCGUAAAGGGCGCGUAGGCGGCCAUGCGUGUCUUCCGUGAAAUCCCUCGGCUUAACUGAGGACGUGCGGAAGAAACUGCAAGGCUCGAGUCCGGGAGAGGGGGGUGGAAUUCCCAGUGUAGCGGUGAAAUGCGUAGAUAUUGGGAGGAACACCGGUGGCGAAGGCGGCAUCCUGGACCGGCAUUGACGCUGAGGCGCGAAAGCCAGGGGAGCAAACGGG